UGAGCAAUCUGCCCUUCUCAUCGGAAUAAGCGUUGGAAACGACGUCUAAUGCCGAAUACGACCUCCUUUCGCAUGAUCGGAGGUGGAAAGCUCCGGCGGAGAAGGAUGAGCUCGCGGCCUAUCAGCUAGUUGGUGAGGUAACGGCUCACCAAGGCUUCGGACGGGUAGCCGGCCUGAGGAGGGCGACCGGCCACACGUGGGACUGAGAUACGGCCCAGACUCCGUACGGGAGCAG
rnacentral:rRNA from 1 species